UACUGGCGGAUUUUUUUGUAAAAUGCCAAUCAGACAAUAUACUGAAACAAGUCAUCAUGAAAGCUGUUUUAUUAUUCUCAAUUGUUCUUGCACUCGCUGCUUUUGCUUGUAGUGCUUCCAUUGUUGUUGAUCCAUCGGUAGAUGUCUCUGGUGGACCCCAAGCGAGGUUCUGUGUCAUGUGGCAAUGCCGCGACUUCUGCAUCCGAAACGGUUUUAGGUACGGCAUAUGUACUGCCGGUGGCGCCUGUAUGUGUAGUAUUUGGUGAUAUUGAUACAGGGCACUGUUGUUCUUCAGACCAUUCCAAAAUUUCUUGUUUUACAAUCGAUAGCUAUAAAUAAAUGCAAUGU